AGUUUCUUGGGUUAAUUAAGAGAUUUAGCCUGCCCACUGAAUGUUAUAUUGAAGGGCCGCAGUAUUUUAACUGUGCAAAGGUAGCAUAAUCAUUAGUCUUUUAAUUGAAGGCUGGAAUGAAUGGCUGGACGAGGUAACUUCUGUUUUAUAUUAAUUAAGUUUGAAGUUAGAUUUUGAGUAAAAAUACUUAAAUGUUUUUGAGGGACGAGAAGACCCUAUAGAGUUUAAUAUAUGAUAUUUUAAUUGGGUUAGUGAGGAAUUUUUAGUUAAUUAUUUGGUAUAUUUAAUUGGGGUGAUUGAAAAAUAAGUGUAACUCUUUUUUGAAUUUAAUAUUAUUAUUAGGAAUGAAGAUCCAUUAAUAGUGAUUAUAAGAUUAAAUUACCUUAGGGAUAACAGCAUAAUUCUUUUGGAGAGUUCAUAUCGAAAAAGGAGAUUGUGACCUCGAUGUUGGAUUAAGAUAAGUUUUGGGUGUAGGUGCUUAAAUGACUAGGUCUGUUCGACCUUUAAUUUCUUACA
rnacentral:rRNA from 1 species